AAAGACUGCAAAGGGAACAAAACAGCAGACAAAACAUCUUUUGGACUGGGCUACUGAUCAUUUUCUUGCUCUUCUAAUGAGAUUGUUAGACAUUGGAUAUAAACUAAACAAACAGCGCACCAGGUGGACACUUCAAGAAAGACUGCAAAGGGAACAAAACAGCAGACAAAACAUCUUUUGGACUGGGCUACUGAUCAUUUUCUUGCUCUUCUAAUGAGAUUGUGUUGCUGAACUUGGACGACAAACAUCAUGGGAGUCAAAGGAUUAAAAUCUUACAUAGAGGAAAAUAAUCUCUAUUUGAAAGACCAUUUUACAGGGAGCAAGUUAGUUAUCGAUGGGUGUAAUCUGUGCAGUGCUCUUUAUGAAGCCUCAUAUCAUGAUUUGAAGCAUGGUGGGGAUUAUUACGUUUAUGAGAGUUUGAUCAAGAAGUUUUUUUGCGGCUCUGAAAAACUGCAACUUAGACCCCUAUGUUAUCCUUGAUGGAGGAAGUGGCCAUACUGACAAAAACUGAGGACCCUCAAGCAACGUGACUGACAAAGAAUUAAAACAGCCAAAGAUAUGUCAUUAGGGCGCAAAUGUUAUGGUGGAGGUAUUAAACCAGCACUCUUGCCAAUUGUUUUCAGCCAGAUGCUCACUCUUUUGAAGAUACCAUUUGUCCAGUGCAUGGAAGAGGCUGACUGGGAAAUUGCUGCUUUGGCCAAUCAGUGGAAUUGUCCAGUCCUAUCAGACGAUAGUGACUUCUUUAUCUUUGAGCUAAAAGCAAGAGUUUUACCCAUUUCACAUUUCGAGUGGCGCAAAGUUUCCGCCCAGAAGUUCAUUCCAGCCAAGAGAUUUUUAGUUUUGAACUUAUGUAAGUGUUUCCUCAACCUGAACGAGCAGUUUCUCCCUCUCUUUGCUGCCUUAGCUUGUUCUGUCACUCAAUGUAUGAGGUGUCCAAAAUGAAAGAAAACG